AUUGAACGCUGGCGGCAUGCUUUACACAUGCAAGUCGAACGGUAACGCGGGGCAACCUGGCGACGAGUGGCGAACGGGUGAGUAAUGCAUCGGAACGUGCCCGGUAGUGGGGGAUAACUGCUCGAAAGAGCAGCUAAUACCGCAUACGACCUGAGGGUGAAAGGGGGGGAUCGCAAGACCUCUCGCUAUUGGAGCGGCCGAUGUCGGAUUAGCUAGUUGGUGGGGUAAGGGCCCACCAAGGCGACGAUCCGUAGCUGGUCUGAGAGGACGACCAGCCACACUGGGACUGAGACACGGCCCAGACUCCUACGGGAGGCAGCAGUGGGGAAUAUUGCACAAUGGGCGCAAGCCUGAUGCAGCCAUGCCGCGUGUAUGAAGAAGGCCUUCGGGUUGUAAAGCUCUUUCAGCCGGAAAGAAAUCGCACUGGUUAAUACCUUGUGUGGAUGACGGUACCGGAAGAAGAAGCACCGGCUAACUACGUGCCAGCAGCCGCGGUAA
rnacentral:rRNA from 1 species